ensembl:lncRNA
CCCAGAUGAAACAGGCCACCGCCACUGGGUAGAUCUCAAACAGCGCUAUCGAUGUUUCAAAACUGCAAAAAGCGGUUGGCCAGUGGCUGGCGAACCCCCUGCGGGGAAUCUAUCACCAGGAAGUCAUCCAGCAGGAAGUCAUCCAGCAGGUGAAGUACUGACGGGACUUUGGCCCUAUUCAGCAGGAUCCAAGGGAGCGCUUCAGACACUUUGUUAAAUAUGCAUGGAGUGCUCCUGCACCCAAAAGUUAACCGCACUGCAAAGUAGAACGCCUCCCACCGGAUCCAGGAGAGAUGCCAUUGAGUCAGGUAACGACACCCACGAUAACGACACCCACGUCUGGUUGAUUAGGGGCGGGGUCAGGUAGUACCAACCAGCUGGCCGCGCGCCCCCAGGAAGAGGAGGCCACCAGGAUUUCAUUCUGAUGUUUGGAGAGGAUGUAUCAGGCAAGCUUCCGGAGAGGUGGCAAACUACAAUCAAGAAAAACAUAAUCCAACGAUGCUGAAAGCUUCCAUCCAACAGUAGGCUUAAGGAACAUCUGCUGGCAGCUGAUCCGCCUGAGAAUCCCACUGAAGCCGAUCUUGACUUUUGUUUGGACAGUGACUUGUCUUGCAGAUGCACCUUAUUCCACCUUCUGCUCAAGGUUGUAAAAAAACAGGAAAGGUGUCUGCAUCCCAACCAAAGAAGCAUUUUGUGGCAUUCAAGAAGACUGGAACAAACAUCCAAGAGCACCGUGAUGCCAUCACUACGAGUACUCCACCCUACCUCCUGAUAUUUCGAGCAAGGAAGAAUGUGAUCCACCAGUUCUUCACCCUUGACAAGAAUUCCAUACCCCACAGGUCAACCUCUUCUCUUGGUGCUUUUUGAUGAACUGUUCAAGGCACAUAAAACGCCAUGCUACACAACACGUACACGUUCAUCCAAACUGCUGUCUAAAAUAUUGAUGUUGGCAAAGUCAAAGAGUCCUUGUGUUGCCAAAGUUCAUGGUUACUGGAAAUAUAUUCGCCUUAAAUGUGCGCAGACUGGAUGUGAGUGUUUGGUACUUUUUUCAGGUUUUAGGAAACAUUUACACACCAAACAAACAGUAUAUUGACCAAGAAGUUCACACUGAUGUUAAUUUAAGCAUCGUAGGAGAGUUGAUGUAGCAUGUGAGAUGCCUGUUUUGUACGACUAAAGAUGACAAUGUAUUACUGUUUGGAAAAUUGCUGGAAAUUGUGUGUUUUGAUCAGUAUUGCCAUGCCUUUAAGGUCAGGCUGCAUCCUGACAAGAUUAUUAAGGUAUUGCACAUAAAUUGGCUAUUUACUUGAAACCAUUCAAUGUUCAAAUAGAGUGUAGGCCAUUCCCCCUUUUUAAGGAAUGUCGUCCCUUAUUGCCAUUUAAAGCCGAUCGAAGGUCAAAUGUUUUGCAUUGUUUCUCUGCACGAUAAAGAGCUGUGAGAUGCAUUAUUUGGUGUUUUUGUGAUUUUACUAAUUCAUGGCGUUUGAAAAAGCUGUAAUGAAUACAUUUGAUGUAAUUUGAUACUGAGGAAAUUAUUUGUAAUUAGUGUUAAUUUUCAGUGACACUAAGCAGUGUCAAUGGAUGGUUAGAAUUUCAGUGUGUCAGUGCUGUUUUCACAAUAAGAGUAAAUUGUCAACACUGUAGUGUAUAACAUGAGCACUUACCGG